UCAGUCGACUGGGAGCUGCGCGAGGGGAUGGGUGUGUGUCUCUGUUUCUCCUGACUCUGCCUGAAUUUAACCCGUUACUGACCUUUGCGUUUGAAAAUUCACAUACGUAACUAUGUAUCAAUUGAAGUGACUCUAGGGCGUGUGUGCCGAGGAUUUGGGGAGCGAAGUGCAAGGCGGAAGACAGUUUAUUGGCCAGUCUGUGUGUCUAUUUGCUUCUGUUCUUGGGUUCGCCUCCCACGCACAGCUGACCUGACCUCUGACCUCCCCCAGGCGUCGCCAUGAACGGGGAAGCGGUGCCCAGUUUUUCCUCCCCCGAGCAGGAGGCGGAGUACUGGAGGAAGAAGGCCACGGAGUACAAACAAAGCCUGGAGGAGACCCGGGAGGAGCUGGAGGAGUUUCAGAGUGGCAGCAGGGAACUGGAGGCGGAGCUGGAGGCGCAGUUGGAGCAGACUGAACGAAGGUGUUCUGAGUACCAGGCACAACUUAACCGAGUAGCUGUAGAGAAUGAUUCCCUUAAGGAGCGUCUGGAGAGGCUACAAAAUGAGUUUAAUGGGCAAGUCAACACACUGCAGUCCGAGUUGGUAGACCUUAAGAGCAUCCAGGAGGACCUUACCCGCUAUAUCAGGGAGCUGGAGCAGUCUAAUGAUGACCUGGAGCGAGCUAAAAGAGCUACAGUGACAUCCUUAGAAGACUUUGAGGCCAGACUGAACCUGGCCAUCGAGCGCAAUGCCUUCCUGGAGUCUGAGCUGGAUGAGAAGGAGGACCUCAAGGUGACAGUGCAGAGGCUGAAGGACGAGGCCAGAGACCUACGUCAGGAACUCAGCAUCAAGGACUGCUCUGAGCCUGACAAUGACAAGGCCCUCAUGAACCAUCACAACCACCAGUCCACCUCACCCCAGAAGCUGCACAUCAAAACUCCCCCUAAGCUUGAUGUGGCACUCCCUGCAUCCCCAGCAGGAGGAGCAGGCAUGGACUCCAAUAAGCUGGUUUCCAAUGGUACCCAGCUGACAGAUACAGUCCCUGCCACCCCUGUUGUCAUAUCCUCGACCUUGCACAACAACAACAAUAACAGCAAUAACAUGAGUAAUGGCAGUGUACCCAUGACUCCCUCAGCAAGAAUAUCCGCACUUAACAUUGUGGGGGACCUCCUAAGAAAAGUCGGGUCUUUCAGGCAGAUGUGUUGUGGCCCCUUGGCUGAACUCAACUUUCUAGGUGACUAAGACUGUCUCUGCCCAUUCCCAGACUCCAGGUGCUAUUAGGCCCUGGAGUCCCGGCUUGCCUCCUGCCGCACCUUGGUGAAGGACAACCAGCGCCCCCUCGGCCUGCCAGCGCCAGGCAACCACUCCACCAGAUAAAAAUUCAGCAGAUAAACCGAGACUUGAAUAGGGUGAACUCAGUAUUCAGAGCAGACAGAAACAGCUGACAUGCACCCCCUCCCCCACCUCCCCCACCAGCAGCCACCACCCCCACCAUCACCAUCCUCGCACCACCGUUACCCCCGCCUAGGCCUGCACCUCCUCCAGCCAGCCUCCCUCACCCCCAGGGAGGCCACCAGAGGACUCAGCGCGGCGCAGGUUUCCCCCUCCAGCAGCACCCCCCAGAAGAGCCUCCCCCCCAGGGACCCCCAUGGAGACUGUGGGGUGGGGGCAGGGUGGUGGAGGGAGACAGAUAGGAGACUCCAAACCUCCAGCAAGCUGACGGGUGGAGGCUGCCGGGCUGCCUCCACCCACCACCACCGCCUCCAGCAGCCGCCGCCACACUGCAGCAGCUUCCUCUACACCAACCCUCACCCGCUCUCCAUCACGAAAAAGGAGUAUUUUUUCUGAAAACAAGAGAUGUGGCCUGCUGCUCUCCCCGUGGAGGGAAACGGACAGACUAAUCUGGGUUUCAUCUGUGAAUAGUUAGGUUAGUUGAUCAUAAAUAUUAUAUAUAUAUAUAUAUAUUGUAUUGGAACCAUUGAGUGAGAGGUGACUCUCCAAAAGAGAAAGAAGAGGAGGAGAAGGAGAAGGAGGAGGAUGUGUGUUGUGAUCUAUUCCCAUUAUUUUGUUUCCAAUCAACUCAAGUGAUGUGGCUCUGUUGUGCACUCUCAAGAAUAGCAGAUGCAUUAGUGCUUGAAAAUCUACACUGCGCAUAACAUAAGUGGAAGUGAUAAGAAUGCAGCCUAGAAAAUAAAAGGAAACAUUCAUCAAAGCAUCACCGCUGACUAUAACAUGUAUUCUUGGCUCUCUCACUUUGUAUUUAGUGGAGCAGCAUGAAUGAAACAACAUUGUAAAGACUUCCUUGUGUCCACUUACUUCCUUUCUCUUUACUUUUCAAUUACUUCUGUGGGUGAGACUGUGUGAAGCAAGGGGUGCUACAUUUAUAAACAUUAUUUAAUUCAUACAACACAAUACUUUCAUGAACUGUCCUAGCGUGUCUUACAUAAACUAUCCUUCACUCUACGAGAUCUGCUACUCACCCCUCAGUGAUGUCUGUGGCUCAUGCAGCAUCACCUUAAUCCCACACUCUCCCCUAAGUCUGCCUCAUACCACAUGCUGCAUCAAGCCACUUGCAUUACCUCACAAGAGCUUCAUGACACCCCUAUAUGUCUAUGUAGACAAGAGCCUGAGAGGAGAGACAAGGAUGAGUGCCAUGUCAGCCCAACGCCCACCUCGCUGACCUACAAACUCCUGAAGGAUGCCAUCUCGCUUGACUCAUGUAAGGAGGUCAGUCGAGAAUCCCAAUGCCUUAUCUUCCACACUUCCUGUCCCUUCUUCAGUGUCACUGUAUAUACAGUACGGCAGUCACAUUCUCAGGACAGAUUUAAAUUCUGAUUUCCCUGCUGUGGAAGCUCACCAGUCUCCUGGAGGACAACUAAGUAGACUUGUCACAGGUAUUGUGAAAGGUCUGGUUGUAAUGCUCUCUGACCUCUCACUCAAGCCACUAGUUCUCCGGAGAUGAGAUGAGAGCUUGAAAACUCUCACAAGGGCAAGGUUGAGAGCAUCAGAUGGCUUAUUCUCCUGAUGAUCAAUCACAUUUUUAGGUUUAUGUCCUUCACUGGUUUUGAUAAUGUGCGUUUAAUAAAUAUAUUUUUUUUAGACCUUGGUUGGAAAAAUGAAGUAUGUGCAUAGUCACAAAUUUUUUAUUUUGCUAUUUUGGGUGUAAUCUGGACAGUGGACUCAAAAUCAUUACUGAAAAUUGUUUAAUUAGAAUGGUUUCAACAUUAAAAAAUUAAGCUUUAA